UAAUGCCGGAUGCUCCAGUUGAUCGCAUGGUCUUCUGGGAAAGCUUUCGCGGUAUGGGAUGGGGUCGCGUCCUAUCAGCUUGACGGCGGGGUAACGGCCCACCGUGGCUUCGACGGGUAGCCGGCCUGAGAGGGCGACCGGCCACAUUGGGACUGAGAUACGGCCCAGACUCCUACGGGAGGCAGCAGUGGGGAAUAUUGCACAAUGGGCGCAAGCCUGAUGCAGCGACGCCGCGUGAGGGAUGGAGGCCUUCGGGUUGUAAACCUCUUUUAUCGGGGAGCAAGCGAGAGUGAGUUUACCCGUUGAAUAAGCACCGGCUAACUACGUGCCAGCAGCCGCGGUAAUACGUAGGGUGCAAGCGUUAUCCGGAAUUAUUGGGCGUAAAGGGCUCGUAGGCGGUUCGUCGCGUCCGGUGUGAAAGUCCAUCGCUUAACGGUGGAUCCGCGCCGGGUACGGGCGGGCUUGAGUGCGGUAGGGGAGACUGGAAUUCCCGGUGUAACGGUGGAAUGUGU
rnacentral:rRNA from 1 species